rnacentral:lncRNA from 1 species
CCUAUUGUUAACUCCAUCGCUUAUAUGAAUUUUGUUAAUCAUGAUUGAUAUAUAAAGACAUGUCUAAAUUUUUAGCAUUCGAGAAAAAAAAGAAUAAAAUAAAAUGGAUAGAGCACAUUAAAAUAUCAAACACUAUCAUAUAGUGUUACUUUUCAUUCCAAAUGGUGUAUACAUCAUUUCAUUACCAACUCUUUCCUUGAUUACAACCCAUAACACAAUGCUUACAAGUCUUAAAGAACUUGUUGAUAACAAGCUAUAGAAAUAUUUGUGUCAUUACCAAUUUAUUUAGCUUAGGCAGCAAUUUUCUCAAAGCAAUCAUUACCAACCCCAUGUAUCCUUAAAUUUUAGUGGUCUUCUUAUAGGAUGUGGACGAGGAAAAGGAUGAGGACGAGGACGAUUUAGAUGGAGAAUGAGGAGGUGCUUGGAAUUUAGGGAUAUUGUACCCUUUAGGUGGGAGGGGUUUCUUAUAGGACGAGGGCGAGGACGGUUUAGAUGGAGAAAGGGGAGGUGCUUGGGAUUUAGGGACAUUGUAUCCCUUAGGUGGGAGGGUUUUCCUAUAAGACAAGGGUGAGGAUGAGGAUGAGAACGAGGACGAAAAUGAGGACGAUUUAGAUGCUUGGAAUUUAGGGAUAAAGAAUGUUGCGUUAGAUGGGAGGGUUGUAAGGAAUAGAGAAAUGGCAAGGGCUAGAAAAAUUUUGUUAUAAAAUGCCAUUGUCUUUCGUUUUAAUUUAAUAAUAGAAAGAAAGUUAAAAAGAAAGACAAUGGAAACAAGGAAUGAUGUGAAAUAUGGAGAUUCAUUGGGGUGUAUUUAUAUCCAAAAUGAGUUAUAGAUUUAUUGGCUAUGCUUAAAUAUAGAUUCUCAAGUGAAUAUUUAACCUUCAUUUGACAAUGUUUUGUUCAUUCAUUAAAGAAUGGUAGAUUUUCUUAGCCCCACAAACUCAGCCAUUCACACGAUAUUGAAUUAAAUUAAUUAAUGAUAUUCGUUAUUUUUUCAGUUUCAAAAUAAUUGACAUAUUAUUAAAAAUAUUUGUUUUAAAAUAGUUGGGAUAGUGCUAAAUGGCCACAAAAAUUUGGUCACAAUAAUAAAAAGACUAUACUUGGUCACAAUAAUAAAAAAACUAUUUUCGUGGUUUGACCACGGUCGCUUGGUGGAGCGUAUCGGCUAAUUUGACAUUAUGAAUAUAUAAACCACACAAAAUCACACAAAACAAUCAAUCAAACAAACAAACAAACAAAACAAAUCCAAAAUUAUAAUGUCCAGUCCGAUUAUUACAAUCCCGAAAUAGAAAAAUGCAAAAAUAUAAACCUACUCUAUUCUAUGCUAAUUCUAAACUACACUCCAUUACUUUCUCCACCCGACGUUUCGGGCCUUGAUCAUGCGUCAUCUUCAAGUACAUAGUACUUCGGGGCAUUCCCCGGAUAAAUCAAUACAAAUCUCUCGGGGGCAUUCCCCGGUCAAAUAAAUACAAUAGAUGUCAAUGCAUAAAUCAAAACCAUUCCACAAACAUUUCAUUAUUCAACAAUCACAAAUCCUAAACUUUUCCUACCCAACUUAUUGCUUGCCUAACUAUCCACGACCUAAAACAUGAUACUAUCAAACUUAACAAAGUCGACGUUCAUUCCAAAUCAGGCAAUCAUCGCUGAACCAACACAAAUCAACGUUCACUUUUAACAAUUUUCGAUCUUUUUCCUCAAAAUUCAACUUAACCCCAAAUCAACUACGUGAUUAAGAUACUUCACACCAGGAUUAACAAUCAGAUAACGACGAGUAAAAUCACUUCAACCAAAUUCAACCAAAAAUCACACCAUUCAAAAAUAUUCAUGAAAAAGAGAGAUAAGAGAUAUAGAAUUGGACCUGGAUUCAAAGGUUUCAAAAUUAUGACAGAAUCCGCGUCGAAGAAACUCGAUUCGAAACCUCCAUUCGAACCCCAACACCAGACCCACUCCAAACUUAGUGCUACCAAAAUUAAAACCCCGAACUGACCACGAUAACCCAAAAAGCUCACUAAAAUCCAACGAAAAAUCAAACACCCGCAGGGUUUGAACUCCGAUGAUUCGCCGAUGAUGCGGACGACCAGAACAACCAGUCGUCGGACGGAUUUCGUCCGGAAUUGAAGAACAACGGAGGGAGGUUUGACCGUUUUAUACGAACGACGAACAGAAGGGAUGAUUUCGGCGAAGCUACUGCCGGAUUAGUAACCCGAAAUCAACCCCUCUUCCUUCUUCAUUACGGAUCUCGACCUCUCUCACUCUAUUUCCCUCCCAUUCUCGAAUCUCUCUCUCUGUUUCUGUGUGUGAGUGUGUGUGGAAUUGUUUGGUGCUUAAUUAUUUCGGUGAGGGUCCUCUCUAAAUUAGUUACUGUGUGUGUAUCUUUGAAUUUCCAGUGAGUUUCUGAGUUUCCCUGAUUUUUGUGAGUGUGUAUGUACAUAUGCUGUGGGUAUAUGAGGAUACACAAAUGGAGAAAUCCGAUGGUGUCUUUUAAAAGGAAAAAAAUGUGAUAGAGGAGGUGUUGAUGGCGUUCUCAGUGAGGAAGAAAAGAGGGGGGGGGGGGGAAAUAAAGUCUGUGUAUGUCGUGAGUGUCCCCCGUCCUAUGCGUGCACUGUGUUUGUAUAUAUAUUCUCAUCCUUUCGUGUCAAGAAGAAAUGUGAUAUGUAUAUAUGGUCCUCUUUUAAAAAUGGAGAAAAUGGUCCUUUUUUGUCCCUUUCAUGGAAGUUUCCUAGUGGGGCCUUUUUUUAAUGUUUAUCCCUUUUUGCCUUUGUGGACAAGAAAUAUGAGGGAGAGAGGGUCACGUGGGUAUGGGGUGUUGGUGGUAGGGGUAUGGGGAAUGUGUCUUAUUUUAAUUGAAAGGGUUGUUAGGAUGUUAAAAAGAAUAAAAGUUUGUUAGGGAUUUUGUUGAGAGUUAUUUUUUUGUAUUUUUAUGGGAUGUAAUUACAUGGGCAGGAUAAGGUAAAAAUGGGUAAAACGAUAUCGGGGAGGGAAGAAAUUACGUGUCCACAUCAUGCCCCCUUUGAAUGUAAACACGCAACGAGACCGAAUUUUGUCUCAAUCAUUAUUCAAAGGAAGGAGUAAAAGAAAGAAGGACAAUCGAAUCCUGUCGGACACCCUAUCUACCCAAGUCAUGAGGAAGUCACAAGUAUCUCAAAGGGUUGGAAGAGAAGUGGACUAUACCGAGUUGGAGAGUCGAGUGAGGUUCCAUCGAGGUUCCGGUCCGCGGCUCUGUCAUUACAUCAAAAANNNNNNNNNNNNNNNNNNNNNNNNNNNNNNNNNNNNNNNNNNNNNNNNNNNNNNNNNNNNNNNNNNNNNNNNNNNNNNNNNNNNNNNNNNNNNNNNNNNNNNNNNNNNNNNNNNNNNNNNNNNNNNNNNNNNUGUUCUUCAGGCGGGCUCCUGACUUGCUAUUUCAUCACCCUGUUCUUCAGGCGGGCCCCUGAAACCCAAAAUUAAAACUAGAACGAAAAUUAUCCCAAACAAAAAUUAUAGUAAAGUAGUAUUUCAUUUUUGAAAGCGUUAUCCCAUUUUUCAGGAGGGUCCUGAACAUAAAGUAAAAUCCUAUUCUUUCAGGAGGGUCCUGAACAGAAAGUAAAAUCCCAUUUUUCAGAAGGGUCCUGAACAGAAGGUAAAGUUCCAUUUUUCAAGAGGGUCCUGAACUGAAAGUAAAUUCCCAUUCUUCAGGAGGGUCCUGAGCAUAAAAUAGAAUCCCAUUUUUCAGGAGGGUCAUGAACAUAAGGUAAAAUCCCAUUUUUCAGGAGGGUCCUGAACAUAAAGUAACAUCCCAUUUUCCAGGAGGGUCUUGAACAUAAAGUGAAAUCCCAUUUUUCAGGAGGGUCCUGAACAGAAGGUAAAAUCUCAUUUUUCAGGAGGGUCCUGAACAAAAGUGAAGUCCCAUUUUUCAGGAGGGUCCUGAAAUCACAUCAAAACUAAAAAGAAAAUUAUCCCAAACAAAUAUUAUUAUAAAGAGGUUUUAUUUGCCAGAAAAGUAAAGUUUCAAAAAUAGAAAUUGAAUUUUUGUCCCAGUUUAUCAUCAGAAGACUUUUGGAAAAGUCACACAAUACCUACUUGCAUGUUACAAUGAUGAAUCAAGACUCUGACUAUGAAAUGCAUCUCUUAAGAGUAAAAUUAAAUAACUAAGACUAGGAAGUGCAUCUCCUAAUAAUUAAAGCGAGGGAUUGUAACUAGAAAGUGCAUCUUCUAGAGAUACAAGUUUAAGUUAAAAGUGUGUCACUUGACAAAUGAAAACUAGCAAGGAAGUGCGUCUCCUGAGGAUUAAGUGCAAUAACUCGACUAGAAAGUGCGUUUUUCUAGAAAUCAAGACUCAAGUUAGGAAGUGCAUCACCUAAAAAUCAAAAUUCGAAAUACCCAAUCAAGAAAGUGCAUCUCCUUACCAAUGUUGCUUGAAUUAUCAAAACAAGGAAGUGCAUCUCCUUACCAAUGCCACUUGAAUUACUCAAACAAGGAAGUGCGUCUCCUCACAAAUGCUUCUUGAAUUAACCAAACAAGGAAGUGCAUCUCCUUAGAAAUGUUUUCGUGAAUUAACCAAACAAGAAAGUGUUUCUCCUUACAAAUGUUGCUCGAAUUGCCAUAACAAGGAAGUGCGUCUCCUUACAAAUGUUGCUUGAAUUAACCAAACAAGGAAGUGCAUCUCCUUACCAACACUGCUUGAAUUACCAAAAUAAGGAAGUGCGUCUCCUAACAAAUUUUGCUUGAAUUAAUCAAUCAAGGAAGUGCGUCUCCUUGCAAAUAUCGAUCGAAUUACCAAAUAAGGAAGUGCGUCUCCUAAAAAAUGUCUCUUGAAUUACUCAAACAAGGUAGUGCGUUUCCUCACAAAUGUUUCUUGAAUUAACCAAAUAAAGGAAGUGCAUCUCCUAACAAUAUUGCUUGAAUUGUCCAAACAAGGAAGUGCUUCUCCAUACAUCGCUUGGAUUACAAAAAAAAGGAAGUGCGUCUCCUAAUAAAUGUCUCUUGAAUUGCUCUAACAAGAAAGUGCAUCUCCUUACGAAUGUUGUUUGAAUUACCCAACCAAGGAAGUGCAUCUCCUUACAAGAAAUCCUGUCUCCUCGAAAUCUUGAAUUAUGAGUUUUACCAUGGCUUUGAAUACCAAAUAUGUGCAGAAAUAUUGUCUCCUUCAUUUGUGUAAGUGCGGUAUUGCAACUUUCGAUAUUUAGGCUUUGAAAUCCUUGAUUCGAAGGUAACAUUUGUUCCUGUUUCAUAUAAAGAAAAUUUGUUAGUUUAAAAAUAAGGUGGCUGGUUUGCGGCUUUGGCUUUCGUGGAAAUCGCUCUUGCCCCAGUCGCAUUUAAUCUUGCUUUUAACCAUUAGCAUGUGUCACUGGCUUGCUGUAUCAUUGACCUGAACUCAGAUUAUUAAGAGAGACUCUGAAACAAAUACAGUAUCCUUGAUUUGUCAUGCUUCUCAGAUAAACCCUUUGAACAUUGGUAUUUCCAUGAAUUCCCAGACUUGUCGGAUGACAAAAUUGUCUGCAUGCCUUGUUUUGGCUCACAAUCAUGUCUCUUUCAUGUGCUGGCCUUUUGUUUUGCUUUCUGCAAUUGAAGAAGCUGGUAGCCAGUUUUGAAAUCUUUUCUCACUUGUUUCGACAUAGACUUGAAUCAACAACAAGAGAAAAAUGACAAUGACUUUUAUUUGGAUAACUGACUCAAGAAAGAUAAACAAAAUAAAGAGAAGAAAGAAAAGAUAAUGAAUGUCCCAACUGAAACAAAGAAAUAAAAAUUUAUCUAAAAAUGACAAUCAACUCCAAAGAUUAUGCCAUGCAUUUUGGGUCAGGCUGCCUUAUCUUUCCAUCCAAAUUUUCUACCAAUUGUUGUUGAGUUAAUGGCCUUGAAACUGAGUUGUUUCCUUAGGUCAAUUGCAUUUAAGACCUCGUUCGGCUAGUGGCGCCUUGGAGGGUUUUUUUUCAACAAGCCUUUCUCAUUUUUUCUAGCUCACCAUUGCCUUAUGGUGUUCAUGAGGGUUUUUCACCAAUGAGACUCUCUUAUUUUCAUUUGUUCAACUCACUAUUGUCUUACCAUGCCCGUAAGAGUUUUCACCGAUAAGACUCUCUCAUUGUUAUCUCCCUCAUCUUACCAUCGUCUUACGAUGUCCGUGAGGGUUUUCACCUAUAAGACUUCUCAUUUUCAUUUCUCUCCUGAUUCCUUAUGCUAAGGAAUACAAGUAGUUCCCAAAAUGCAUCAUCACAUCCAUUGCAUGCUUAGCCUUAACAUUCUCAAAGAUUGAUCUGAAGGUCUUUCUUUGAUUGUAACUUGGCUUUUGGAUAGGGUUAGAAAGAAAGGAUGACAUGAUGCCCAAACGACACUUGAAGUGGCUUAGGACUUACAACUUUUGGAAUCGACUCAAACAAAUGAGGAUUAACUCAUGCCCCAGUUUCUUUUGACUGGAUGAUUCUAAAUUAUUUAUUUGGUUAGACUGAGCCCUUAGUAGGGCAGCCUACGUAUCUCACCCCCGAGAGAGGAGAAUCAGGUCAUGCGUAGUUCUGGAAGCUUAUUCUUUCACUUGAUUCUAAUUUUUUUUCUUUUGUUGACUCUUUUCUCUUUGGAUUUUUCAAAUUCUAUUUGUCUUGACACUUUUUUCUUUUUAGACAUAUUUUUUUUUCUUCUCUUUUUUUUUUUGAACUUUUUCUGAAUCUAUUAUUUUGCUCGACACUUUUCUUUUGAGCUUUGCUGACUAUAUUGAUUCCAAAAGAGGGGUAUGAAAUAAAAUAGGACUAAAGCUCAAAUGGGGUAAACAAAGGAUGACACGAUGUUUGGAUAGCAGAAUGAAAUGUCUUCGUCAUAUCAAUCCUUGAAAAUGCAAGUACAUAUCAUGUAAUAUGAAAGUGAGAGAUGAAGAUCAUUUGCGACAUCUUUUUAAGCAGAUUAAGUUUGUGCGUCAUUACUCUUGCACUUUGUUCAACAUAUCACUCCACUUUUGUUGUACAAUCCUCACAUCGAAUGACUUAUGCUUUCGUGGAGUUGAUUUUUCUGUCCCUCGGUAUCACACACCCGCUAUUUGAUCUAAUUGAGCCAUGUUUUUCAAUUGAUGAUCAAGUUAUUCUUGUGAUUCUCAAAAUAAUUGCCUUAACUUGUCACCAAAUGUCUUAACACUCUAUCUAUUUUCUCAUAUGCUCUCUUUUUCUAACUUUAACCCUUUUAUUCAAUGUUCAUGCUUAAACUGGAUUUUAAUAUCUGGCUGAAAAUUUCACUAGCAUGUCAUAUCACUAGAGUCAACACAAAAUGUACUAUGUAAAGAAAACAAACAAACAACACAUAUUUAAAACACAAAGGAAAAUGAGACACUUCAUUCAGUCGAAACAAAAGAUAGAAGAGCUUGAACAUAAGCAACCAAAGACAAAACAAGACAGAUCCUGAACUACAACCCUGAAAUAAUUCGGAGAACAGAAAAUAAAACAAAACAAGCUUCCAAACCUCUUUCUAGUAGGGAGAGGGGUGGAUUCUCAAUUGCUCGGCCUGACAUCUUAGCCACUAGUUUGUAUAUCAGCAUGACUAGAGUUUUCCUCACCGUCAAUGUUCGGCACCAUAAUCAAUUUGUCUUGAAUCAUCUUUUUAAUUUCUCUUUUUAAAGCACGACAAUCUUUAAUACUGUGACCCUGAACAUCAGAAUGAUAUGCACAUCUUACAUUAGGAUCAAAACUUCUUGAAUUCGGGUCAAGAGUAUACCCAAGGAGAGGAGUGAUCAUGCCUCGCAGUGCCAAUCUUUGAAAUAAACUGACAUACAACUCUCUAAUUAGUGUGAAACUAUCCCUCAAUUUUUGCCUUAUUUCAUUAUUUAACUUGGAUCGAACAUCGGGCCUAGAAGGGCUUUGGUAUGUUUGUGGAAUUGGAGGAUGACUUUGAAGAUUUGGUGCGCGCCAUUGUGGGUAAGGAAGGAGUUGAACAUAUGGUUGUGCGCAAUAUACUAGAUAUAGAGGUCGGGAAAUAGAGUAUAUUGGAUUUUGAGAGUGAUUGUGGAGAGCUUGGGUAUGAACUUGGGCUUGAGACUGACGGCAACGACGACGUCGUCUUCUUGGAUGUGCCCGUUCUCCAACUACAAUAGCAGUGUCAUCUUUCUCAUUCUUCUUCCCUCCAAGUUCCCUCAAUUGAUUGCAGUAUUGUCCCAAAUGUUUCACGAAUUUCUCAUGCCCAUCUUGCUCCUCAAAUUUUGACAUCUCAAAGAUUGGAGGAAGGUCAGCACUUGAAGGCAUGCCCCAAUCUUUGUAUAAAACAUCUUUUUUACCCGUAGGUCCUAGAGAAUUUUUCAUAGCAUUUUCUGCACUCUUCAUUUUUUCAACCAUUUUCUCCGACUCUUCUGGCACACUGGAUUUCUUGUUAAGAAAUUUUGGUGGUUCAGUUAACUUAAAAACAGGCUCAGGAGUAUAACAAUGAUCAACCAAAGUAUUGAAUAUAAGUUCACUAGCAGCAUGGGGAUGCACAACCAUUGGACGAGACAGUGUGGAAGUCCCAGUAGAGGAUUGAGCAACAAGAUCGUAGACGACAUGUGGUGUUGUGAAUGUAGUAGGCUUAUGCUGAGGAGCUAGAGGAAAAGUGGUGGAAGUAUUGAGAUGAUUUUGGCUAGGAAUGAAUUCUGAGUCAUGUUGCGGUGCAUCAACAACAGUAAAAAAUUGACUUUGAGAUUUUGGUGAAAAACUCAAGGUAUUUGUAGGAUCAAUAAAGGGAAAUGGAGGAGGAAGCAACCCACUGGCCCAAGCUCGAUACAUUUCUAUCAUUUGUUGUCUUAGCCUCCUAAUCUCUUGCUUCAAACUCUCAUUUUCCUGAUUCUUUGUUUGAUCCAUGAUGUCACUCUCUAUAUAUUGGUUGGACACAACUAACCCUUUGGAUUUGGUGUGAUGUGAAGGAUCAGCCAGAAUGCCACAAACCAACCACCUUAAACUGACUCAAUAAAAAAACACAUGUGUUGGAGUUCAACACUUUUUCAAAACCUUUUUUUCCUUCUUUUUUUUUUUAAAAGAUCACCAAACCCAACAAGGGCGCCUACGUAUCUCACUCUUGAGAGAGGAGAAUCAGGUGUGCGUAGUUCGUGAAGUCUUGCCAAAAUAGCCAAUUAAACUCUUUUUCCUUUUCUUCUUUUACUCUUUUUUUUAAACUUUAAGAUGAGAAAAUAGCAAAUUAUCAAAAGAAUUGACGAAAAUCUUUUUGAAUUUUUCAACUUUAACAUCUCUAUAUAAUAUGAAACCUACGUUUACCAAAGAAAAAUCUUUUUGAAUUUUCGAUUUUGAAUUUCAUAUGAAAGUGAAACUUGAAACUAUAAAAGAAAAAUCUUUUUGUAGUUUUUCUCUUAAAGAUGUAUAUGAAACACCUACUCUAAAUGAAGAGUGAAUAAAUUUUUUUUGUUUGAAAUAAAAUCCCCAAACCAACAAUAGGUUGCCUACGUAUCUCACUCUCGAGAGAGGAGAAUCAGGGGUGCGUAGUUCGUCCAAAUUGGACAAAUAAAGAUUAACUAACAGACUGACCCUAACUUAAGAGACACAACCAAAGACCGAUGAAUAAUAAAAGAAAUAAAAAAAAUUGGGUUUUUAAUUUGACAUCAACAACUAUGAAAGAAAAAUAUUUUUUAAAAAAAAUUUUGAAUUAUGAAUGCGUGGUAAAGGAAUAAAAGUAUUUUUUUUUGAUAUUUUCGUUAUAUGAAAUGUACAAAACUUCUACCAUUUUUUUUUUUUUUGCAUUUCCCUUUAUAAAACCUCCUAUUGUAAAAAAAAUCUUUUUUUGAAAUUUUUGAAUUGAGAAAAACAAAAGACAUACAGAACUCUAAAAAUUACAAAACUCUUUUUUGGACUUUUUUUUUUCACACACUUUACUUCUAACACAUGCUUUACCCCACAUCAGUCGGGCAAAUGACCACAUUAUUCUCAAAGAUGCAGCAUUUAGCACGUAGGGAUGUUUUAGGGGUGAGUUUCCUACAAAGAACCGUGUGGGCCCCGCUAGAUCUCAAUAUAAUGCACAUAAGAAUGUCCUAUAGGCUGACCUACGUUGUGGUUUACUAACAAGGCUGUUCGGGGGAGCGUAUGGUCAAUAGUGGCUGCUUUGCUUUCUCCCUACUCCAUACAUCCAACGGCUCCCCCCCUAAAAUAAAGGUGACUCAACUAGAGUUCGUGUGCACGACGUGCGCUCCGAGACUUGUUGCGAAAAGAAUGACUAGGGUUAUGCACAUGAUUUCAGAUAUAAAAGCGGUAAACACAUAGGAUAAAUAUUGUAAACAAAGAGCACAAAAACGCACAAAAGUGAAAACACAAAUAAAAAUCACAAACAAUGUUUAUACACUCGUAAUGUCAAACAAAGCGGAUAAGACUACAAAAAAAAAGCUUGAAUUCUGAAAUAGUCCCCAGCAGAGUCACCAGAGCUGUCACACCCCUUUUUUUACCCAAAGAUUAGAUUUUAUGGUUUCAAAAGGGUUUCAUUAUUAAGUGACAAAAUGUGAAAAUUUUUUCCGAAAAAAAAGAUUAUUCUUACUUUCAAAACUCAGAGUCGCCACUUGGCAUAAAUCGGGUGUGACAAGUCACCUUUGGAAAUCCUUUUUCAAAACGGUUUUGACUCUAAAACUGAUCCGCGAACAGAGAUUCCAGCUAAGGAAUUCUGUUGACCGAGGGGAAGGUGUUAGGCAUCCCUCGAUUCCAUGGUUUGACUACGGUCGCUUGGUGGAGCGUAUUGGCUAAUUUGACAUUAUGAAUAUAAACCACACAAAAUCACACAAAACAAUCAAUCAAUCAAACAAACAAACAAACAAAACAAAUCCAAAAUUAUAAUUUCCAGUCCGAUUAUUACAAUUCCGAAAUAGAAAAAUGUGAAAAUAUAAACCUACUCUAUUCUAUAUUAAUUCUAAACUACAUUCCAUUGCUUUCUCCACCCGACGUUUUGGCCCUUGAUUGUGCGUCAUCUUCAAGUACAUGGUACUUCGGGGCAUUCCCCGGAUAAAUCACUAUAAAUCUCUCGGGGGCAUUCUCCGGCCAAAUAAAUACAAUAGAUGUCAAUGCAUAAAUCAAAACCAUUCCACAAACAUUUCAUUAUUAAACAAUCACAAAUCCUAAACUUUUCCUACCUAACUUAUUGCUUGCCUAACGAUCCACAGCCUAAAACAUGAUACUAUCAAACUUAACAAAGUCGACGUUCAUUCCAAAUCAGGCAAUCAUCGCUGAACCAACACAAAUCAACGUUCACUUUUAACAAUUUUCGAUCUUUUUCCCCAAAUCAACUACGUGAUUAACAUAUUUCACAUCAGGAUUAACAAUCAGAUAACGACGAGUAAAAUCACUUCAACCAAAUUCAAUCAAAAAUCACACCAUUCAAAAAUAUUCAUGAAAAAGAGAGAUAAGAGAUAUAGAAUUGGACCUCGACCUCCAUUCGAACCCCAACAGCAGACCCACUCCAAACUCGGUAUUACCAAAAUUAAAACCCUGAACUGACCACGAUGACCCAAAAAGCUCGCUAAAAUCCAAUGGAAAAUCAAACACCCGCAGGGUUCGAACUCCGAUGAGUCGCCGGUGAUGCGGACGAACAGAACAACCAGUUGUCGGAUGGAUUUAGUUCGGAAUCGAAGAACAACGGAGGAAAGUUUGACCGUUUUAUACGAACGACGAACGGAAGGGAUGAUUCCGGCAAAGCUACUGCCAAAACAGUAACCCGAAAUCAACCCCUCUUCCUUCUUCAUUACGGAUCUCGACCUCUCUCACUCUAUCUCCCUCCCAUUCUCGAAUUUCUCUCUCUCUAUUUCUGUGUGUGAGUGUGUGUGGAAUUGUUCGGUGCUUGAUUAUUUCGGUGAGGGUCCUCUCUAAAUUGGUUACUGUGUGUGUAUCUUCGAAUUUCCAGUGAGUUUCUGAGUUCCCCCGAUUUCUGUGAGUUUGUAUGUAUAUAUGUUGUGGGUAUAUGAGGAUGCACAAAUGGAUAAAUCCGACGGUGUCUUUUAAAGGAAAAAAACGUGAUAGAGGAGGUGUUGAUGGCGUUCUCGGUGAGGAAGAAAAAGGGGGGGGGGGGAAUGGAGUCUGUGUAUGUCGUGAGUGUCCCCCGUCCUAUGCGUGCACUGUGUGUGUAUAUAUAAUCGCAUCCUUUCUUGUCAAGAAGAAAUGUGAUAUGUAUAUAUGGUCCUCUUUUAAAAAUGGAGAAAAUGGUCCUUUUUUGUCCAUUUCAUGGAAGUUUCCUAGUGGGGCCCUUUUUUAAUGUUUAUCCCUUUUUGCCUUUGUGGACAAGAAAUAUGAGGGAGAGAAGGUCGCGUGGGUAUAGGGUGUUGGUGGUAGGGGUAUGGGGAAUGUGUCUUAUUUUAAUUGAAAGGGUUGUUAGGAUGUUAAAAAGAAUAAAAGUUUGUUAGGGAUUUUGUUGAGAGUUAUUUUUUUGUAUUUUUAUGGGAUGUAAUUACAUGGGUAGGAUAACCUAAAAAAUGGGUAAAACGAUAUCGGGGAGGGACGAAAUUACCUGUCUACAAUUACCUUUUUUUCUUUUAAAUAGACAAAGUUAUUUAAUUUUUAAAGUAAAAGAGUAAAAAUGUCCAAAAGUUAACUAGUUCAUACUGUGAACAUAACUUUUUUCUAUUGUGGCCAAAAAAUUAUGGUCAAAAGAACUUUUCCGGUGGAUAAUGCUAAAUGGCCACAAAAAUUUGGCCACAAUAAUAAAAAGACUAUAUUACCUUUUUUCUUUCAAAUAGACAAAGUUAUUUAAUUUUUAAAGUAAAAGGGUAAAAAUGUCCAAAAGUUAACUAGUUCAUAAUGUGAACAUAACUUUUUUCUAUUGUGGCCAAAGGAUAGUGUGCUAAAUGGCCACAAAAAUUUGGCCCAAAUUUGGCCACAAUAAUAAAAAGACUAUAUUACCUUUUUUCUUUCAAAGACAAAGUUAUUUAAUUUUUAAAGUAAAAGGGUAAAAAUAUCCAAAAGUUAACUAGUUCAUAAUGUGAACAUAACUUUUUUCUAUUGUGGCCAAAAAAUUGAGGCUAAAGAAUAGUGUGCUAAAUGGCCACAAAAAUUUGGCCCAAAUUUGGCCACAAUAAUAAAAAGACUAUAUUACCUUUUUUCUUUCAAAGACAAAGUUAUUUAAUUUUUAAAGUAAAAGGGUAAAAAUAUCCAAAAGUUAACUAGUUCAUAAUGUGAACAUAACUUUUUUCUAUUGUGGCCAAAAAAUUGAGGCUAAAGAAUAGUGUGCUAAAUGGCCACAAAAAUUUGGCCCAAAUUUGGCCACAAUAAUAAAAGGAAUAUAUUACCCUUUGUUUUCAAAUAGACAAAGUUAUUUAAUUUUCAAAGUAAAAAGGUAAAAAUAUCCAAAAGGUUAAUAUAGAAUGAAGAGUAAGAAUAAUUACUCUUAACAUUAAUUAUUCUAGAAUGAAGAGGCAUGUUCCUUUUGAGUUACUCCCCCGUUUCAUUUUAGUUGGGCUUCUUUCUAAAAAUAUUUGUUUCAAUUUAGUUAUUCCAUUAAUGAAAUUAAGAGGAUUUUAAUAUGUUUUUUCAAUAAUAUCCUUAUCAUUAAAUGACUAAACAAAUUAUAUAUAUCCAAAUUUAUAUUUUCAAAGCAUAAAUAAUAAGGCUAAUUUCGUAAAAUAGAUUCCUAAUAAAUGUUUUUCUUAAUGGGUGUAACAAGUCUGUAGGGGCCAACUAAUAUGAAAUGGAGGGAGUAUGAUUUUAUUCCUAAAUAAGUAUAUGUUUAUAUCUUGAAGAAUACUUUGACAAUAAUCUUCCAAAUAUGUUUUUGAGUUCAAAUAUAAUAAUCAAUGUUAACAAGAAAAGAGAUGAAAUUUAAUUAGGGGUAAGUUGGUAAUGUUACAGUCAAUUUUCUAUGAGUAAAUAACUUAUUAAAGUACAUGCUCAAGUAGCACUUAUUUAGGAAUAGAGAGAGUAAAGAUUAAAGAAUUAAUAAGGGAUAUAUAAGUCAAAUCAUACUCCUAAUUAUUUUUCUUUAAGAAUUGUGCAAAAUCUAAACCUUUCAACUAUUUUGAGAUGAAUACAGUAUAUGCAAGGUGUAUACUCCCUCUAUUCUCUUCUAAUUGUCACUAUUUUUAUAAUUAGAUUUCUAUUUUUACUUGUCACUUUUGACAUCUCAAGAAAAGACAAAAUAUUUUUUUCUAUUUUACUCUUAACAUUAGUUAUUUAUUCUUCAAAUCAUUUUCAAGGCAUAAUACUCUAAACAUCAAUUAAUAGAGUUAGUAUGGUAAAGUAGUCAUAUCAAUAGUUGUUUUUUUAAUGGAAUUUUCAUGUCAAAUAAUGACAGGUAAAAAUGAACGAAAGAAGUAUAAGCUUAAUCAGAAGUGGAUUCAGGAUUUUGAGAUUUCGGAUGUCAUACUUUUUAUGACUUGAUCUAUUUUGAGCUUUGAUUUAGAUAAUUGCCUUUUUGGUUUAUAUAGACAAUUAAAUAACUAUAGUAAUUUUAAACAAAGGCAUAAAAGAUCGUGAGGGUUUGGCUUUGAUGCUAUGUGAUGAACAUGUGAUUUUGACGAUUGACAAAACUCGUGAGUGAAUCUGGUCCUCACCAGAUAUGCUGCCUCUACAAUUUAUUUUAUUUUUCAGAGUCAACUGUGUGAGAACCUGGUCCUUAGAGGAAUCCUGUUUUGUAGGGAUUGGGUUCAUAUUAUGUACUCAUAACCUUGUUAACCGAUAAACUUCUGAAAGAGAUUUCUACUGAUUCAACAUUUGUAUUUUAGGUGAUAUGGGGACAUAGAAGUACUGAUCUGAUAUAUGAAACUCGUGCUCUUAAGUCUUAAUGAUUGACAAACUGCAUGUAAGGACUUGAUCCCUAAAGGACGUAAGUAUGUGGUCAACUGUACAGCUGAAAAGUCUUGUCCUACAACUGUAUUGACAGCAUUUGCAGGUGGUUAGUGGCAUAACAAAAGCUUUUUAAUCUCGACCAAUGAGAAAUAUUCUAGGUUUUUCCUCCCAUUUGCUUCAUAUAUAUAGAUCAUUAUGUGAGAGGAAAACCUAACAUUAAAGUUCCAUCAAGACAAAGAUCCAACAACCAAAGGACCAGUUUGCUACAACAGAAUAUGUCUUUAGGUCUAAGUUGUUGAGUUUUUGUAUUUUGCUCUAACAUUGUAAACCUACUCCUAUUCUGAGGAGCUUGUGUAGGUAUUUUAUUUUAUCUCUUCUCUUGUAUAUCUAAGUUGUGGGCUAAAGUUAACCUUGUAGUGUUGGGGGCUAAAGAAGUCGUGGUAGUACCGGUGUGGGCUAGAGGUAGCCUUAGUUGUCUUUACAAUAGAGUUAUUGUAGAGAGUGCUUACAAUAGAGUUGUUGUCAGGGUGAGGGAUUAAGAAUUUAAUUCCUAGGUUGCAAGAUGUUGUAAUCCAAAAGUUGCUCUUGUUUUAGUGAAGUGGUUGAAAAAUUUUACUAGGGUAGGUCAUGAUUUUACUCCCUUAAGUAAGGAGGUUUCCACGUAAUACAUCUUGUCUUCUUUACUUUUGUUCUUCAACUUUUGUUCUUAGUUAAUGAACCUAGUGAGGGACCAGGUUUUCAUUACUAUGGUGAACUCAUAUAGAACCUUUUUUGUUAGCUAAAAAAAAUGAUAAGGGACCUGGUUUCUAAUAUUGUGGUAGUGGACGCACGCAAGUCAUCACUAUGUAAAGAAAUGAAUUUGAGGUUAACUCAACCUCAAAAGCUAGCAUAAGAGGUGACUAUUGUCCAUGACCAUUUAAAGAGCAAAUUUGCCUUCUACCCACCUAUAUGAAACUCAACAUCUUUAGCAAAUUUAAAGGAUCAAAAUUACUCAGGAGUAUAAUAUUUAAGGGAUUAAUUUGAAGUUUAAACCUACCUAAAUAUAAGAUUACUUUUAUUACUUUCUGUUAUUGCUUCUACAAAUGACCCAAAAGUAUAACAGAGGGUAUUUACGUAUUAUUUUUAAUAGUUUAGGAUAUAUAUAAUCUUUUUCGAAUAAAAGAAAAUGAUGAUGCAAAGAUCUUUUGUGUACUGAGAUAUUUUAAUUUACGGAAGAUGGUCAAAUAUUUUAAUCAAACAUCCAGUGUAUUAUUAACUUCAUCGCGUAUCUGAAUUUUGCUAAUCAUGAUUGAUAUAAAAACAUGUCUAACUUUCUCGCAUUCAAGAAAAAUAUAAGUAAUAAAAUAAAAUGCAAAAUAGCACAUUAAAAUAUCAAACACUAUCAUAUAGUGUUGCUUCAUUCCAAAUGGUGUAGGUUACAAGAUUUCAUCGCCAAAUCUUUUCCAUGAUUACAACCCAAAUUACAAUGCUUACAAGUAUUAAAGAACUUGUUGAUAACAAGUUGUUGAAAUAUUUGUGUCAGUUACCACCAAUUUAUUUGCUAUGGGUAGCAAUUUUCUCAAGGCAAUCACUACCAACCCCAUGUAUCCAAUUAUCAAAUUCCUUAAACUCAGAGUCAUCUCCAUAUACAGAAAUAGCACAAUCAUUGCAAGUAUCAAUAUCAGUCAUCAUUGCACUAAUAUCAACAUUGGCUUUAUAAUAGUUUUUAACUUUGCAAUCUUCUUCAGCCUUCUUCAUGGCAUCCACUGCAUCUUGAUACACCUCCUUGCAUGUCUCGAGACAAUCCGUGGCGUAAAUGUCUGUCUCUGGAUCCUCUAAACGUUGUUCAAUGACAGUCGAAAUGAAUUCUUCCGUCUUGGCCAUCGUAGCUUCCAUCACGGAGUUGAUAAAUAUGGAAACAUCCCCGUUUGAGGUGACAGGAGUACUCUUUUUUGAAAUUUCAAUGGUUUUUUUAUAGGCUGAGGAUGAGGAAAAGGAAGAGGACGAUUUAGAUGGAGAAAGGGGAGGUGCUUGGGAUUUAGGGAUUUUGUAUCCCUUAGGUGGGAGGGGUUUCUUAUAGGAUGAGGGCGAGGGCGAGUAUGGUUUGGAUGGAGGAGGUUCUUGGGAUUUAGGGACGUUGUAUCCCUUAGGUGGGAGGGUUUCUGUAUAGGGCGAGGACGAUGACGAUGACGAUUUAGAUGGAGAUAGGGGAGGUGCUUGGAAUCUUGGAAAAAAGAAUGUUGCCUUAGAUGGGAGGGUUGUAAAGAAUAGUGAAAUGGCAAAGACUAAAAAAAUUUGGUUAUAAAAUGCCAUUAUCUUUCUUUCUACUUUAAUAAUAGAAAGUAAGUUUGAAAGAAAGACAAUGGAAAAAAA